rnacentral:rRNA from 1 species
GACGAACUGUGCGAACGUUGUUCGGAAUCACUGGGCGUAAAGCGCACGUAGGCGGCUUUCUAAGUCAGGGGUGAAAUCCUGGAGCUCAACUCCAGAACUGCCUUUGAUACUGAGGAGCUUGAGUCCGGGAGAGGUGAGUGGAACUGCGAGUGUAGAGGUGAAAUUCGUAGAUAUUCGCAAGAACACCAGUGGCGAAGGCGGCUCACUGGCCCGGUACUGACGCUGAGGUGCGAAAGCGUGGGGAGCAAACAGG